rnacentral:misc_RNA from 1 species
GGCAGCGUAGCAGAAGAACAGGCGCGGGAGCAGCGGGGCCC